rnacentral:rRNA from 1 species
UACGAAGGGGGCUAGCGUUGCUCGGAAUCACUGGGCGUAAAGGGUGCGUAGGCGGGUCUUUUAAGUCAGGGGUGAAAUCCUGGAGCUCAACUCCAGAACUGCCUUUGAUACUGAAGAUCUUGAGUUCGGGAGAGGUGAGUGGAACUGCGAGUGUAGAGGUGAAAUUCGUAGAUAUUCGCAAGAACACCAGUGGCGAAGGCGGCUCACUGGCCCGAUACUGACGCUGAGGUGCGAAAGCGUGGGGAGCAAACAGGGAUUAAGAA